rnacentral:rRNA from 1 species
UACGUAGGGGGCUAGCGUUGUCCGGAAUCAUUGGGCGUAAAGCGCGUGUAGGCGGUCCGGUAAGUCCGCUGUGAAAGUCGGGGGCUCAACCCUCGGAUGCCGGUGGAUACUGUCGGGCUUGAGUACGGAAGAGGCGAGUGGAAUUCCUGGUGUAGCGGUGAAAUGCGCAGAUAUCAGGAGGAACACCGAUGGCGAAGGCAGCUCACUGGGACGGUACUGACGCUGAGGCGCGAAAGCGUGGGGAGCAAACAGG